GAUGAACGCUGGCGGCGUGCCUAAUACAUGCAAGUCGAGCGAACAGACGAGGAUCUUGCUCCUCUGACGUUAGCGGCGGACGGGUGAGUAACACGUGGAUAACCUACCUAUAAGACUGGGAUAACUUCGGGAAACCGGAGCUAAUACCGGAUAACAUGUUGAACCGCAUGGUUCAACAGUGAAAGACGGUCUUGCUGUCACUUAUAGAUGGAUCCGCGCCGCAUUAGCUAGUUGGUAAGGUAACGGCUUACCAAGGCAACGAUGCGUAGCCGACCUGAGAGGAUGAUCGGCCACACUGGAACUGAGACACGGUCCAGACUCCUACGGGAGGCAGCAGUAGGGAAUCUUCCGCAAUGGGCGAAAGCCUGACGGAGCAACGCCGCGUGAGUGAAGAAGGUCUUCGGAUCGUAAAACUCUGUUAGUAGGGAAGAACAAAUGUGUAAGUAACUAUGCACGUCUUGACGGUACCUAAUCAGAAAGCCACGGCUAACUACGUG
rnacentral:rRNA from 1 species